rnacentral:misc_RNA from 1 species
GAUGAAGAACGUAGCGAAAUGCGAUAAGUAAUGUGAAUUGCAGAAUUCAGUGAAUCAUCGAAUCUUUGAACGCACCUUGCGCCCUUUGGCCAUUCCGAAGGGCAUGCCUGUUUGAGUAUCAUGAACACCUCAACUCUUCAUGGUUUUCCGUGAUGAGCUUGGACUUUGGGGGUCUUGCUGGCCUAUAGUCAGCUCCUCUAAAAUAAAUCAGCUUGCCAGUGUUUGGUGGGUAUCACAGGUGUGAUAACUAUCUACGCUUGUGGUUUUCCACCAGGUAACCUUCAGCAGUGGAGGUUCGCUGGAGCUCACAGAUGUGUCUCUCCUCAGUGAGGACAGCUCUUUGAAUGUUUGAUCUCAAAUCAGGUAGGACUACCCGCUGAACUUAAGCAUAUCAAUAAGCGGAGGA